GCCCUGCCGUAAACUUAGAUAUUUCAAUACAACAAAUAUCCGCCCGGGGACUACGAGCGCCAGCUUAAAACCCAAAGGACUUGGCGGUGCUUCAGACCCCCCUAGAGGAGCCUGUUCUAGAACCGAUAACCCCCGUUCAACCUCACUACUCCUUGCUUUUCCCGCCUAUAUACCGCCGUCGCCAGCUUACCCUGUGAAGGUAUCGCAGUAAGCAAAAUGGGCAAUGCCCAAAACGUCAGGUCGAGGUGUAGCGUACGAAGUAGGAAGAAAUGGGCUACAUUAUCUGAAGCAGAUUAUUCACGAAAAGUCAUCUGAAAUCGAUGACUCGAAGGUGGAUUUAGCAGUAAGGGGGGAAUAGAGCGCCCCCCUGAAGCCGGCUCUGAAGCGCGCACACACCGCCCGUCACUCUCCCCAACAACACCCCCAUCUGAUAACUAACAAGACAGCAGCCACAAGGGGAGGCAAGUCGUAACAUGGUAAGUGUACCGGAAGGUGCACUUGGAAUAAC
rnacentral:rRNA from 1 species